AUUCUUCUUCUUCGUCUUCUACG
rnacentral:sRNA from 1 species